rnacentral:rRNA from 1 species
GCACAAUGGGCGCAAGCCUGAUGCAGCCAUUGCCGCGGUGUAUGAAGAAGGCCUUCGGGUUGUAAAGUACUUUCAGCAGUGAGGAAGGCGGAGUCGUUUAAUAGCGGCCUUCGUUUCGACGUUUAGCUGCAGAAGAAGCACCGGCUAACUCCGUGCCAGCAGCCGCGGUAAUACGGAGGGUGCGAGUCGUUAAUCGGAAUUACUGGGCGUAAAGCGCAUGCAGGUGGUUUGUUAAGUCAGAUGUGAAAGCCCGGGGCUCAACCUCGGAAUUGCAUUUGAAACUGGCAGACUAGAGUACUGUAGAGGGGGUAGAAUUUCAGGUGUAGCGGUGAAAUGCGUAGAGAUCUGAAGGAAUACCGGUGGCGAAGGCGGCCCCCUGGACAGAUACUGACACUCAGAUGCGAAAGCGUGGGGAGCAAACAGGAUUAGAUACCCUGGUAG